rnacentral:rRNA from 1 species
CUGUGCAAAGGUAGCAUAAUCAUUAGUUUUUUAAUUGAAAGCUGGAAUGAAUGGUUUAAUAAGAAAAAUUCUGUCUCAUUUUUAAGUUUAAAAUUUUAUUUUUAAGUUAAAAAGCUUAAAUUUAUUAAAAAGACGAGAAGACCCUUUAGAGUUUUAUAAGAAAAAAUUGAUUAUUAUUAUGAUUUAAAUUUAAAAUUGGUUUUUAUUAUUUUAUUGGGGUGAUAUAAAAAUUUAAGUAACUUUUUAUUUAUUUAAUCAUAAAUUUAUGUGUAAAUGAUCUUGAUUUUUUGGAUUAUAAGAAUAAUUACCUUAGGGAUAACAGCGUAAUUUUUUUUGAGAGUUCUUAUCGAAAAAGAAGUUUGCGACCUCGAUGUUGGAUUAAAAUUUAAUUUUGGCGUAGAAGUUAAAAAUUUAGGUCUGUUCGACCUUUAAAAUU